UUUAAGAUGGAUUGACAUUGUGUUUGUACAGCAUAAAACCAUCUUGACUCACUUUGAAAGUUUCUACUUACCCCAACUCAGCAGUAGACAAAAUCUAUUAUGGAAAGGAGCAUGGGCAACUAUAGUAGCAUGUAUAUGAGAGCAAAGGAAUUUCAUUGUUUUUAAUCAAGGGGUAGUAGACGUGGAGGACUUAAGUCUUGGCAGUGGCUAAAGCACAUGGGUCACCCCUUUAGCUACUCAUUUGCAGAUUGGAUGCUAAACCCUCUAAUAUGCAUUAGAAGCUACAAGUAGAUGUUUGAGGCUGGUGUUUGAG
rnacentral:lncRNA from 1 species